rnacentral:rRNA from 1 species
UACGUAGGGUGCGAGCGUUAAUCGGAAUUACUGGGCGUAAAGGGUGCGUAGGCGGCCUCGCGUGUCAGGCGUGAAAUCCCCGAGCUUAACUUGGGAAUUGCGUUUGAAACUACGGGGCUCGAGUGUGGCAGAGGGAGGUGGAAUUCCACGUGUAGCGGUGAAAUGCGUAGAUAUGUGGAGGAACACCGAUGGCGAAGGCAGCCUCCUGGGUCAACACUGACGCUGAUGCACGAAAGCGUGGGGAGCAAACAGG